rnacentral:lncRNA from 10 species
GGCUCAGCGGUCGCCAGCGGCACCGGAGGCAGCGCGGAGAGGAAGUGUGAAGUGUGACGGCUGACGAGGAGGGUGGGAGGAGACGAGGGAGUGCUGCAACUCUGGAAAAACAAGUCAGCUCUUCUGUGGAGCUCGUCACGCAUUCACGGGCCUUUUGCUAUCAUUCUGCCUCAAAAUUGUCCGGAAUCCGCCCUCUCCUUCCCAUUGCACUGCUCCAGCCCUAGCCCAGACACCUUCCGCCCCGAGCUUCGCGGGAGUCUGUUCCCUGGGCUCGCCUCGCCCAUCCUCGGUGCUGCGGACUGGAUGAGUUACCGUCCGUUCGGCUGAAAAGCCCGGACAGCACCUCACCUUCGAGAUCCCGCUUCCUUCACACUGGGUCGCCCCACCAGCCGCCUGGGUUCCAGUUUAGCACUGCCGACGACUUGCUGUGCCUGGCAUGUCCUUGCUCCCAAAUGUCACAUCUAUGAAGCCUCACCCUAAAACCCUGUAAGAGCGAUUCCCUCUUUCACCCACAUGCCCGUUAGCCUUUAUUUAGCACACCUUAAAUUGUAUUCAUUUUGCAUCUCAAUCUAGUUCACAGCCUGGUAUAUAACAACUAAUAAAUGUGAGUUGACUGAUAAAGACUAUAAAAUGAUAAAUUUGUUAAGAGCUGUAAUGCUGAGCGUAAUGCCUGGGCAUAAUGGAUGUUCAUAAUUUUCUGAAUGAUAGAAUGGAUGAAUCAUCUAGUCAUUUACAGAUAAGGAAAGGGGAGUCCCACGGGAUUAGGUGACCUUCCUUGAAGAGCCACGGGUUUCCCAUAUCGAAAUGCUAUUCAUUACCCGAGUCACCUAGGUUCUUACAAAGGAAGCGAGAAAAUUGCUUUUGUUGGGCCAUGCCCCUUUUGCAGAGGUUCCUAAGUAUAGUCGCCAGAAUUUUUUUAAUGGCCUAAAGUAAAAAAAGAAAUGCUAAAAUUUUCACGAAGCUAAAUGUAAUCAAUGUAAAGG